rnacentral:rRNA from 1 species
AGCGGACGCUGGCGGCAGGCCUAACACAUGCAGGUCGAACGGACCCUUCGGGGUUAGUGGCGGACGGGUGAGUAACACGUGGGAACGUGCCUUUAGGUUCGGAAUAGCUCCUGGAAACGGGUGGUAAUGCCGAAUGUGCCCUUCGGGGGAAAGAUUUAUCGCCUUUAGAGCGGCCCGCGUCUGAUUAGCUAGUUGGUGGGGUAAUGGCCCACCAAGGCUACGAUCAGUAGCUGGUCUGAGAGGAUGACCAGCCACAUUGGGACUGAGACACGGCCCAAACUCCUACGGGAGGCAGCAGUGGGGAAUCUUGCGCAAUGGGCGAAAGCCUGACGCAGCCAUGCCGCGUGGAUGAUGAAGGUCUUAGGAUUGUAAAAUCCUUUCACCGGUGAAGAUAAUGACUGUAGCCGGAGAAGAAGCCCCGGCUAACUUCGUGCCAGCCGCCGCAGUAAGAC